rnacentral:rRNA from 1 species
UGGGGAAUAUUGGACAAUGGGCGAAAGCCUGAUCCAGCCAUGCCGCGUGUGUGAAGAAGGUCUUCGGAUUGUAAAGCACUUUAAGUUGGGAGGAAGGGCAGUAAGCGAAUACCUUGCUGUUUUGACGUUACCGACAGAAUAGGCACCGGCUAACUCUGUGCCAGCAGCCGCGGUAAUACAGAGGGUGCAAGCGUUAAUCGGAAUUACUGGGCGUAAAGCGCGCGUAGGUGGUUCGUUAAGUUGAAUGUGAAAGCCCCGGGCUCAACCUGGGGACUGCAUCCAAAACUGGCGAGCUAGAGUAGGGCAGAGGGUGGUGGAAUUUCCUGUGUAGCGGUGAAAUGCGUAGAUAUAGGAAGGAACACCAGUGGCGAAGGCGACCACCUGGGCUCAUACUGACACUGAGGUGCGAAAGCGUGGGGAGCAAACAGG